rnacentral:rRNA from 1 species
UACAGAGGGGGCAAGCGUUGUUCGGAAUUACUGGGCGUAAAGGGCGCGUAGGCGGCCUUCUAAGUCGAACGUGAAAUCCCUGGGCUCAACCCAGGAACUGCGUCCGAUACUGGAAGGCUUGAAUCCGGGAGAGGGAUGCGGAAUUCCAGGUGUAGCGGUGAAAUGCGUAGAUAUCUGGAGGAACACCGGUGGCGAAGGCGGCAUCCUGGACCGGUAUUGACGCUGAGGCGCGAAAAGCCAGGGGAGCAAACGGG